CCUUACUGAGGGAAACAAAUAUUUUGACUGCGAGUUAUCAAGCCCCACCUUCUCUAAGAUUUAUUUUAAGGGCAUUGUAUUAUUUCAGCAUGAGCAUCUGCCUCGAGUAUGGGACAGAAAAAAUUAGAUGGAGAAAAAGUAACUUCCGUCUUCUCCCGCGUUGCUUCUUGGAAGUUGCAGUUUCUUGGUGACAGAAUUUGAGCUCAAGACUACUACUGGCCAGCUGUGGCACACACCUAUGAUCUCAGGGGAGGAAGAUGGAGCCAGCGACACCAGGAGGGGGAAGGUGGCUUUUAGAAAGCUAAGUGCACAGAUCGCAGGAUUCCACAGUUACAGACUAGCGACUGUGCAGAUAAGCAAGUGUAUAAAGUAAGUGACGACUGCUUUAAGAACUUGCUGCAGGCAGGCACUGCUCAAAGGGCUUGGGAACACUCGGAAAUCAGUGUGCCACACGGGACAAAGGCAGGAUUUUAAACAGAAAGUAUGCAAGUAAUCACGAGGACGACACACCAGCUGAGUACAGCGUGAGCAACGAGAGCAAAGAAAUGGAAAACAAACUUCUGAGGGCUUCUCUGAAAGUUAAGCUUCAGAGAGAAUGUCCACUGAGAAUCUAAGAUGCUUGCUGUUCACUCACAAGAACUACCUACCCGCUCCAGGUUUCCUGAUACUUUUUUUCAAACAGAAGAAUUAAUCAGACAUGAAUUUGCCUAUACUUUUCCUACCCGUUUCAUGCAGUUUUUAAAAACUUAUUCCAUUGUUAGUUACCCACCUCAAAUUAUUCUGGGGUCAAAGUGCACGUACAGAAUCUAAAAUGGCCUUUAUAGGCUCUGCCGUAAGCAGUUAGACCCCCAUCCCUAGCAUGGACUGUGGUAGAUACUGAGAGUUAAAUGCUGCUUAUAGGUGCCUGAUUCCUCUUUGCUUCUGCCAAGCUACAGAAGUGUAGGAAGCACCUUACCUGGUUUCCAGGUUUGACCAGUCGUAAGGCAGCUUCCGCACAAAGAUGAGCUGCCUUAAUGACGUCUGCUUUCCGCCCUGUGACCUGGGUCCCCUGUGAAGAAACAGAACCACUGUCAUUCUGGACAGUCAAUUAUACAAGAGAGCCAGAAAGGCCUUCCAUUCGUUUCUCUAGAUACUCUAGAGUCAUGCGGUACUAGAGUGGAGAUGAAAACCCAAAUGGCAGCAUGCCCCUCCCCAAGACGACAAAGCUGAAAAGCAUGCUACCUACCUGAGCUACACCAAUCACAAAAGUGUGAGCCACGUUAGCAAUGAAGCCAUCCACAUGGACUCCAAGGUCACUGAAAGGCAAGAACAGAGCAGAGCACUGCAUUAGGAAACAACACCGUGAACAUGUCGGAAACGACAAAUUCUCUAGAAUGGUUUAACCUUACAUUUUUACCAAGUCACCUUCCUUGAGUAUAUAGUCCUGAUCACUCUUCAGAGGGGAGAAGUGACACACACAGUUAUUUACCGAAAUGCUGGUAGGAAAGGCAAUACCUGUAAAAAGAACCAUCAACCUUACUGCCUUGCUCUGUCUUGGGAACACUUGUUGCCCACAAAACUGAAGGGGUUUUUAUUCUAGGGACCUUGUUUCCUCAGAUUGGGAAGAAACUAUACCCAUCCCACUGCUACUCCAGACUUCCAGGGAUGGACAGAAAUUUCAGUGAGAGACGGGGCUGGAUGUGGGUCAAACGGGGAAGCUAAGAGGGGUUCUUUCCCUUUACCUUUCUUCAUUUCCUUCUCUUUCUUGAAGAUUUUCCCUGUCUCUUCCAUGAUCAUGGCAUCUCCUUUCUCACACAGGCUCAGUACUGACACACCUGAGCUGGCAGCGUCCACCAAAGACCGAAGUACCCCUGGGAACAGAACCCCACCAGGUCAGUCCUGCAUGCACUCAAAAUCUAAUUAGACCUAAAGUGGAAUUCAUUUUUCUAAUACUCCCUAGUGCCAAUGUUGAAAAGAGGAGAGGAAACAAAUUUUGUGUACAAUCUAUCCUCCUUUAAUGCCUACCUUUUUUGUUUGCUUGUUUUGCUUUUUUGAGACACCUCUGGCUGUCCUAGAACUCACUACAUAUACCAGGUUAGCCUGGAACUCAGAAACGAGCUUGCCUUUGUCUCCCCCAAACAAGUGCUGGCACAAACAACAACAACAACAAAAAACCCAAAAAAAAACCCAGAAAAAAAAACCAAAAAAACACCACCAACCUUACUUUCUACCUUUCCUUCCUAAAAAUAAAGGUUAGCGUUUACAGUUCUUUCAAUUAUCUGAUACCAGGGCAGAUGAAGGCCUCGCACCUUCCAAAGAUGUUAUAGUAUUCAGAAUCAUGGACGUUAGGGAACUGUGCCCAGAUACCCCAGAUGCACAGGCAAAGCCCAAGAAAUUUAUAGGCGUCGGGGACAUCGGGAAGGUACACAUAGAACUGCUGAGUCAAAGCUAAAGCAGUUUUAAAUGUUGCCUUCUUCCCUCCCCUAGACACACCAAUUAGGUGUUAGCAAUCACAAUUUAUGUAGAUGCAUUUCCCCAUAUACAAGUAUAUAAACCCAGGGGAAUUAAUCUAAGGUCUCAAAGGUUCAGGGGACUCAAGGUUUACUUUCAGUAGACAGCUUCAAAACUAUUAUAUGAAGUCUAUAUAAUGGUCUAAAGCUGUAAAUUGUAUGGACCGAAACUGUCCGAUUUAAACCAAUAAUACCAACUACUAAACCAUCACCCCAAAUAGGGCUAUUAUUUUGUAUAUGUCCUCUUUAUGAUCCACGGGAAUUCUAGCUUUGAUUUCUUUCGUCUUAUUUCGUUAUCUU